rnacentral:rRNA from 1 species
GAUCAAGUGACCAAGUGCACAUGAUGGAUGCCUAGGCGAUUACAGGCGAUGAAGGACGUGAUAGCCUGCGAGAAGCUGCGGGGAGCUGGCAAAUAAGCUGUGAUCCGCAGAUGUCCGAAUGGGGAAACCCACUGACCUUAGGUCAGUACCGUUACGUGAAUUCAUAGCGUAACGGAGCGAACCGAGCGAACUGAAACAUCUAAGUAGCUCGAGGAAAAGAAAUCAACCGAGAUUCCGGCAGUAGUGGCGAGCGAACCCGGACCAGCCUUGACGAGAUAGCCUAGUGUAUAGUUGAACAGAUUGGAAACUCUGGCCGUAGCGGGUGAUAGCCCCGUAAACGAAAUACAUUAGGUGGUAUUAAGCGUCGAAUAAGUAGAGCGGGACACGUGAAAUCCUGUUUGAAGAUGGGGGGACCAUCCUCCAAGGCUAAAUACUCGUAAUCGACCGAUAGUGAACUAGUACCGUGAGGGAAAGGCGAAAAGAACCCCGGGAGGGGAGUGAAAUAGAACCUGAAAUCGUGUGCAUACAAACAGUAGGAGCGGACGUGUUCCGUGACUGCGUACCUUUUGUAUAAUGGGUCAGCGACUUACAUUCAGUGGCAAGCUUAACUAAUUAGGAAGGCGUAGCGAAAGCGAGUUCGAAUAGAGCGUUUUAGUCGCUGGGUGUAGACCCGAAACCGGAUGAUCUAUCCAUGGCCAGGUUGAAGGUGCGGUAACACGCACUGGAGGACCGAACCCACUAAUGUUGAAAAAUUAGGGGAUGAGCUGUGGAUAGGAGUGAAAGGCUAAACAAAUCCGGAAAUAGCUGGUUCUCUCCGAAAACUAUUUAGGUAGUGCCUCACGUAUGACUGUAGGGGGUAGAGCACUGUUAUGGCUAGGGGGUCAUUGCGACUUACCAACCCAUGGCAAACUCCGAAUACCAACAAGUCCGAGCGUGGGAGUCAGACAGCGGGUGCUAACGUCCGUUGUCGAGAGGGAAACAACCCAGACCGCCAGCUAAGGUCCCCAAAAUUGGCUAAGUGGGAAACGAAGUGGGAAGGCAUAGACAGUCAGGAGGUUGGCUUAGAAGCAGCCACCCUUUAAAGAUAGCGUAAUAGCUCACUGAUCGAGUCGUCCUGCGCGGAAGAUGUAACGGGGCUAAGCCAGUUACCGAAGCUGCGGGCGUGUUUUUACACGUGGUAGGAGAGCGUUCUGUAGGCCUGUGAAGGUAGGUUGAGAAGCCUGCUGGAGGUAUCAGAAGUGAGAAUGCUGACAUGAGUAGCGAUAAAGGGGGUUAAAGUCCCCUCGCCGUAAGUCCAAGGUUUCCUGCGCAACGUUCAUCGGCGCAGGGUGAGUCGGCCCCUAAGGUGAGGCAGAGAUGCGUAGCUGAUGGGAAGCUGGUUAAUAUUCCAGCACCAGGUUCAAAUGCGAUGGGGUGACGGAUUGCGAAAUGCGAGCGGGCGGUUGGAAGAGCCCGUGACUGGUACUAAGAAGGUGGUUAGGCAAAUCCGGCCACGUAAUUCAAGGUAUUGGUGCGAAGGAGCUACGGCUCUGAAGUUGCAGGCAGUGGUCCCAGGAAAAACCUCUAAGCUUCAGUUUGAACGUGACCGUACCGCAAACCGACACAGGUGGACGGGAUGAAUAUUCUAAGGCGCUUGAGAGAACUCAGGAGAAGGAACUCGGCAAAUUGAUACCGUAACUUCGGGAGAAGGUAUGCCCUUCUGCGUGUUAAAGCGCGGGAGGGCCGCAGUGAAACGGUGGCUGCGACUGUUUAUUAAAAACACAGCACUCUGCAAACACGAAAGUGGACGUAUAGGGUGUGACGCCUGCCCGGUGCUGGAAGGUUAAGUGAUGGGGUGCAAGCUCUUGAUCGAAGCCCCAGUAAACGGCGGCCGUAACUAUAACGGUCCUAAGGUAGCGAAAUUCCUUGUCGGGUAAGUUCCGACCUGCACGAAUGGCGUAACGAUGGCCACACUGUCUCCUCCUGAGACUCAGCGAAGUUGACAUGGUUGUGACGAUGCAAUCUCCCCGCGGCUAGACGGAAAGACCCCAUGAACCUUUACUAUAGCUUCACAUUGAAUCGUGAGCCGGCCUGUGUAGGAUAGGUGGGAGGCGCAGAAAGCGGGACGCUAGUUUCGCUGGAGCCGACCUUGAAAUACCACCCUGGUUUGUUUAUGGUUCUAACCUUGGCCCGUUAUCCGGGUUGGGGACAGUGUGUGGUGGGUAGUUUGACUGGGGCGGUCUCCUCCUAAAUUGUAACGGAGGAGUUCGAAGGUACGCUAAGCACGGUCGGAAAUCGUGCUAAUAGUGCAUUGGCAAAAGCGUGCUUGACUGUGAGACUGACACGUCGAACAGGUGCGAAAGCAGGACAAAGUGAUCCGGUGGUUCUGAAUGGAAGGGCCAUCGCUCAACGGAUAAAAGGUACUCUGGGGAUAACAGGCUGAUACCGCCCAAGAGUUCAUAUCGACGGCGGUGUUUGGCACCUCGAUGUCGACUCAUCUCAUCCUGGGGCUGUAGCCGGUCCCAAGGGUAUGGCUGUUCGCCAUUUAAAGAGGUACGUGAGUUGGGUUUAAAACGUCGUGAGACAGUUUUGUCCCUAUCUGCCGUGGGCGUUGGAUACUUGACGGAGGCUGCUCCUAGUACGAGAGGACCGGAGUGGACGUACCGCUGGUGUACGGGUUGUCAUGCCAAUGGCAUUGCCCGGUAGCUAUGUACGGAAGAGAUAACCGCUGAAGGCAUCUAAGCGGGAAACUCGUCUGAAGAUUAGGUAUCCCGGGGCCUAGAGCCCCCUGAAGGGUCGUUCGAGACCAGGACGUUGAUAGGCUGGGUGUGGAAGUGCAGUAAUGCAUGUAGCUAACCAGUACUAAUUGCCCGUGCGGCUUGAUCCU